GCCUGGGUGGCUCAGUGGUUGAGCAUCUGCCUUUGGCUCAGGGCAUGAUCCCGGGGUCCUGGGAUCGAGUCCCACAUCAGGCU
rnacentral:tRNA from 1 species